ACCACGUUUACACAAACAUGUAUAGCCUACGAAGCAAAGUCUGCCAUCUACCACGUCAAUCAAACCUUUAUUCGGCUUCUUCCGCAUAAUGUGAUAGGAGGAUCUGAAAGAAAGGGCAGGUGCAUUUGAAAGUCCUGAAGGGAUCAGUGGUUUAGCCUACAUUGCGGCGUUAGGCUACUCAUGGGACAGAAACAAGCCAGUCCAAAAACAUCACUCUACCUCAGAGUUUCCCAGUUCUGGGUGAAAAGUAGAGCAAGCCAAAAUGAAGAGCCUCAAGGCAAAAUUUAAAAAGAAUGAGGGAGGUGACAGGCCGAUGGUCGUCAGGUGGCUGUCUUUGUGGAGGUCCCAGUGCUGACA
ensembl:lncRNA